GAUGAACGCUGGCGGCGUGCCUAAUACAUGCAAGUCGAGCGAACAGACGAGGAGCUUGCUCCUCUGACGUUAGCGGCGGACGGGUGAGUAACACGUGGAUAACCUACCUAUAAGACUGGGAUAACUUCGGGAAACCGGAGCUAAUACCGGAUAAUAUAUUGAACCGCAUGGUUCAAUAGUGAAAGACGGUUUUGCUGUCACUUAUAGAUGGAUCCGCGCCGCAUUAGCUAGUUGGUAAGGUAACGGCUUACCAAGGCGACGAUGCGUAGCCGACCUGAGAGGGUGAUCGGCCACACUGGAACGGAGACACGGUCCAGACUCCUACGGGAGGCAGCAGUAGGGAAUCUUCCGCAAGGGGCGAAAGCCUGACGGAGCAACGCCGCGUGAGUGAUGAAGGUCUUCGGAUCGUAAAACUCUGUUAUUAGGGAAGAACAAAUGUGUAAGUAACUAUGCACGUCUUGACGGUACCUAAUCAGAAAGCCACGGCUAACUACG
rnacentral:rRNA from 1 species